UACGAAGGGGGGCUAGCGUUGCUCGGAAUUACUGGGCGUAAAGGGCGCGUAGGCGGCACUGUUAGUCAGGCGUGAAAUUCCUGGGCUCAACCUGGGGACUGCGCUUGAUACGGCAGAGCUAGAGGAUGGAAGAGGCUCGCGGAAUUCCCAGUGUAGAGGUGAAAUUCGUAGAUAUUGGGAAGAACACCGGUGGCGAAGGCGGCGAGCUGGUCCAUACUGACGCUGAGGCGCGACAGCGUGGGGAGCAAACAGG
rnacentral:rRNA from 1 species